rnacentral:SRP_RNA from 1 species
GGUGAGGAAGGUAGCAGCAGUCAUAGUAUUCGGUGUUGCUGCUGUUUGCC